rnacentral:rRNA from 1 species
CCUACGGGAGGCAGCAGUGGGGAAUAUUGCACAAUGGGCGCAAGCCUGAUGCAGCGACGCCGCGUGGAGGAUGACGGCCUUCGGGUUGUAAACUCCUUUCAGCAGGGACCAAGGGUGACUGAGUGUACCUGCAGAAGAAGCACCGGCUAACUACGUGCCAGCAGCCGCGGUAAU